UAUACGAAGGGAAGAUGGAUUUUAUAUCCCAAAAGUUUCUCCUAUAAGGUAUGUUUUACUUUCCAAGUUUUGGCGUGCACACAGUCCAUUCAGGCAGACCAGAUAUCAUGAUAUAGCUGAUUGUACUGUCUGUAGGUAAAUUUACUGAAAUUGAUGGCAGUGUUCAAGGUGGUGGAUCACAUAAUUGCCUUAAAGUCGGGUGAAGUCAGGAUUUCAAAUUUAAGGGUUUUAGAUUUUAGAACGAUGACUUCAAGUGCUAAUACCUGUGUCUUAAAUUUAAUGUAUGUACAGAUUUAAUGAAUUCCUCAGCACGAAUAUAUUGUUUGACCAAAGCUACUAGGUUCUGCUCAAUUUGUAUAUGGCAUCUAGCUCCACCCCUGCUAAAAGUAGUAGUAGUAGCUACAUCAAUAAAUGAAGUCAAAAAAGUGAGGAAAAAAGGAAAGCAAUAUCAUUGCUCUAGGCAUGAUGUACUGAGGUUGACGAUACAGCGUAAUCAACUGCUCCAUGGUGUUCUAGAUUAAAGAAGAUUGUUUUGCUUCUGAAUUCUACACUGAUCCUCGAAGAGGAUACUAACAGAGAGUGUAUAGGAAUGUUAAAGGAAAAGGAGGAGAAGAGUAUUUACCGGAAGCAGCAGCAUCAAUUGCAUUUCCUUUGGAGUCCCUGGCAUGAAGAACUAAUCUUGUUGUGUAGUUGGGAUGGUGUGAGUAGAAGUCAGAACGAGCAAUCAUCAAACAAUCGAGAGCCCUGUGCCCGAGCUGUGUGUCCAAAUCAAGAAUCACACCCACUUGAAAGUUAAUAACUGAGCUGUUGCCACCCAAGGCGCUAGAGCAACAUAAGGAGGAACUCAUUGUAAUAAGGAAACUAACAAGAAUGGAAUGGAAAGAGAUGAUCAUUGUUUCUUCAAGGAUGUAUUAAUUGAUUUUAAUUCACUAUGUAGUACUCUUAUUUCCGAGAUGCUUAUAUAGGCAUCAGUUGACCAAGACUUGCAUGCUAAGAUGCAUGUGCCAAGAUUUGGUUUUGUUGUGUAUCUUUUUUAAUCCUUUUUCUAGUUUUGUUGGAUUAUAUGCAUAAGGGUCAACAAUAAAAUAUGCUAUAUGAAACUUCCUGGA